AACGAACGCUGGCGGCGCGCCUAACACAUGCAAGUCGAGGGGCCGUAGCAAUACGGCACCGGCAGACGGGAGAGUAACACGUGGGGACGUGCCCAUCAGUUCGGAACAACCCAGGGAAACUUGGGCUAAUACCGGAUACGCACUUACGGGGAAAGAUUUAUCGCUGAUGGAGCGGCCCGCGUCUGAUUAGCUAGUUGGUGAGGUAACGGCUCACCAAGGUGACGAUCAGUAGCUGGUCUGGGAGGAUGAUCAGCCUCACUGGGACUGAGACACGGCCCAGACUCCUGCGUGAGGCAGCAGUGGGGAAUAUUGGACAACGGGCGCAAGCCUGAUCCAGCCAUGCCGCGUGGAUGAUGAAGGCCGUAGGGUUGUAAAAUCCUUUCGGCGGGGAAGAUAAUGACGGUACCCGCAGAAGAAGCCCCGGCUAACUUCGUGCCAGCCGCCGCGGUAACAC
rnacentral:rRNA from 1 species